UAUUUUAAGACAAGGUCUCAUUAAAUCACCUUUGCAGGCCUUAAACGAAGUUACUUCUGCCUCUGCUUCCUGAAGAUGUGGAGUUCCAGCAUACACCAGUAAACCCAGCUUCAGUGGAACUCCAAAGGGUGAAUUACAGGAUGGCAUGGAAGGCUGGUGGGCACCCUGACAGACCUACUAGAGAC
rnacentral:lncRNA from 1 species